GGUACACGCUGUGACUAGCAUAUCAAUAAGCGGAGGAAAAGAAACUAACAAGGAUUCCCCUAGUAACGGCGAGUGAAGCGGGAAGAGCUCAAAUUUGAAAUCUUAAAGGGUUUCCCUUUACGAAUUGUAGUUUAAAGAAGUGUUUUCUGUUGAGGUUUUGGUAAAAGUUCUUUGGAAUAGGACAUCAUAGAGGGUGAGAAUCCCGUAUUUGACCUUUACUUUCAACUUUGUGAUACACUUUCAAAGAGUCGGAUUGUUUGGGAAUGCAGUCCAAAAUGGGUGGUAAAUUUCAUCUAAAGCUAAAUAUUGGCGAGAGACCGAUAGCGAACAAGUACCGUGAGGGAAAGAUGAAAAGAACUUUGAAAAGAGAGUUAAACAGUACGUGAAAUUGUCAAAAGGGAAGCGUUUGACACCAGUGUUGUUUUUCUGAAAAUCAAUUAAAGAACUGUUUAUGCUAAGUUGUUUAGACUUUAUCAGCUAACUGUUUAGUUUUGAGCUUUUCUUUAAUGCACUUUUCAGUUAACAAGUCAACAUCAAUUUCUUUUGCUGUAAAAAAGCUUGAGGAAGGUGGCUUGAGAUUCGUCUUAAGUGUUUAUAGCCUCUUGCCUAUGCAGUCGGAGAGAUUGAGGUCUGCAGCGUAGAUCCUUCGGGGCUAAAUGCAUUUGUGCUAAGUUAUAGCUUUUUAUAGACAACUUGUUGACUAUAAUUAGUCUUGUAGCUUACUCGCUUAUGCUAUUUUACCUACGCUUAGGAUGUUGAGCGCAUGUCUCUCUCU
rnacentral:rRNA from 1 species